GACAGAGGAUGCAAGCGUUAUCCGGAAUGAUUGGGCGUAAAGCGUCUGUAGGUGGCUUUUUAAGUCCGCCGUCAAAUCCCAGGGCUCAACCCUGGACAGGCGGUGGAAACUACCAAGCUGGAGUACGGUAGGGGCAGAGGGAAUUUCCGGUGGAGCGGGUGAAAUGCGCAGAUAUCAGGAGGAACACCGGUGGCGAAGGCGGGUCUCUGGGCCGUAACUGACGCUGAGGAGCGAAAGCGUGGGGAGCGAACAGG
rnacentral:rRNA from 1 species